CCCAGCAGGCUGCAGAAAGGACCCACAGGCCAGUGAUCGGGGCUCGGCUCAGUGCGAAGGCAGGACAAUGGCCAGGGACAAUAUCUAUGAGAACAUGCCGAUGACGGAAGCUGCUCCCCAGCCCAAAGGAAACCCUUCCAAGACAUCAGUCCCUUGGCGGCACAGGGCAGGGGGCAUCGUCACUCCUGUCCUUCUCCUCCUGAGUCUGGCCCUGGCCACGUCCCUCCUUGCUGUGACGCUUCUAUGCGCUUAGGCAGGAAGGGUGUGACAGAUACAGAGGCAGCAGUGGUAGUGACCCAAGCAAUGGAACAGACAGUGAAGAUGACCAGAUGUGGAAGCUGCGGGAUGAUCCUGGAGCAGGUACCUGAAAAGAGCUUGUUUGUAUGAAGCGCCGCCUGAGAGCUGAUGGAAGAGAAGAGCCGAGGUUUGGAGAUGCAGGUGGAAACUAUGGUUGAGUUUUGAAGGGGAUUCGAGCAGAUGAUGGAGGGAAGGUGAGAGGAGGCUGAAGGGAAAACUCAGGACUGGCAGAUC